rnacentral:rRNA from 1 species
GAUGAACGCUGGCGGCGUGCCUAAUACAUGCAAGUAGAACGCUGAAGGAGGAGCUUGCUCUUCUGGAUGAGUUGCGAACGGGUGAGUAACGCGUAGGUAACCUGCCUGGUAGCGGGGGAUAACUAUUGGAAACGAUAGCUAAUACCGCAUGACAACAGUUAUUGCAUGAUAACUGUUUAAAAGGGGCAACUGCUCCACUACCAGAUGGACCUGCGUUGUAUUAGCUAGUUGGUGAGGUAACGGCUCACCAAGGCGACGAUACAUAGCCGACCUGAGAGGGUGAUCGGCCACACUGGGACUGGGACACGGCCCAGACUCCUACGGGAGGCAGCAGGAGGGAAUCUUCGGCAAUGGACGGAAGUCUGACCGAGCAACGCCGCGUGAGUGAAGAAGGUUUUCGGAUCGUAAAGCUCUGUUGUAAGAGAAGAACGAGGGUGAGAGUGGAAAGUUCACACUGUGACGGUAUCUUACCAGAAAGGGACGGCUAACUACGUG